rnacentral:rRNA from 1 species
UUCGUAGCUGGUCUGUUAAGUCUCUGGGGAAAUCUUCCGGCUUAACCGGAAGGCGUCUCAGGGAUACUGGCCGACUAGGGACCGGGAGAGGUGAGGGGUACUCCAGGGGUAGGAGUGAAAUCCUGUAAUCCUUGGGGGACCACCUGUGGCGAAGGCGCCUCACCAGAACGGCUCCGACAGUGAGGAACGAAAGCUGGGGGAGCAAACCG